rnacentral:misc_RNA from 1 species
UAGUUCUGCUCUUUCUCAUCUGGGACUAGCUCGGCUUUCUUUAUCUCAUGCUUUGAGCCUUGUGAAGAGUUCACCUUCCUCGGCGAUGGAGCGUCUGAAGAUGAUAGAGUUCAAGAGUUUGAGAAAAGAGUUCAAGGAUCAAGAGAACAAAGAAGAUGAGAAAAAAAGAUCUAGCUCAGACAAGGAAUGGGUUAUCCUUCAAGCUUUGCUGGAGUUAAGGAGUACAGGAUUCUGGGUA